UAGUUACAUGUUUGAUUAACUUUUCCCUUUUACUGAUGGAGUCAUUGGUCAUCACGACUCAACAGAGAGAGACCAGCUACAGACCAGUUACAACAACCUGACUAAAGAGAGAGACCAGCUACAGACCAGUUACAACAACCUGACUAAAGAGAGAGACCAGCUACAGAACAGGAUUAUGUUCUAUGAGAAACCUUGUCUAGCUGGAUGGUGGAAGUUUGGCACCAGCUGUUAUUAUCUCUCCUCCACGAUGAACACAUCUGGGGGCGGUCAGCGGCAGUGAAGAACAAUGGGUGGAGAGUUGGUUGUUAUAACCAGCAGAGAAGAACAGAUAUUUAUCAAUGGAUUUAAGAAGAAUGUCUGGAUUGGUGCAUUUAAAAAAGACGGAACUUGGCAGUGGGUUGACA